rnacentral:tRNA from 2 species
AAUAAGGUGCCUGAUUAAAAGGACUAUCUUGAUAGGAUAGAUAAUGUAUUUAGUACUCUUAUUA